UACGUAGGGGGCAAGCGUUGUUCGGAAUCACUGGGCGUAAAGGGAGCGUAGGCGGGAAGGUAAGUUAGAAGUGAAAUUCUCAGGCUUAACCUGAGGCACGCUUUUAAUACUGCUUUUCUUGAGUAUGGGAGAGGGAGAUGGAAUUCCAGGUGUAGCGGUGGAAUGCGUAGAUAUCUGGAAGAACACCAGUUGCGAAGGCGGUCUCCUGGACCAAUACUGACGCUGAGGCUCGAAAGCUAGGGGAG
rnacentral:rRNA from 1 species